rnacentral:rRNA from 1 species
GAUGAACGCUAGCUACAGGCUUAACACAUGCAAGUCGAGGGGAAACGAUAUUGGAAGCUUGCUUCUGAUAGGCGUCGACCGGCGCACGGGUGAGUAACACGUAUCCAACCUGCCGAUAACUCGGGGAUAGCCUUUCGAAAGAAAGAUUAAUAUCCGAUAGUAUAUUAAAACCGCAUGGUUUUACUAUUAAAGAAUUUCGGUUAUCGAUGGGGAUGCGUUCCAUUAGUUUGUUGGCGGGGUAACGGCCCACCAAGACUACGAUGGAUAGGGGUUCUGAGAGGAAGGUCCCCCACAUUGGAACUGAGACACGGUCCAAACUCCUACGGGAGGCAGCAGUGAGGAAUAUUGGUCAAUGGACGAGAGUCUGAACCAGCCAAAGUAGCGUGAAGGAUGACUGCCCUAUGGGUUGUAAAACUUCUUUUAUAUGGGGAAUAAAAGUAUUCCACGUGUGGGAUUUUGUAUGUACCAUAUGAAUAAGGAUCGGNUAACUCCGUG